rnacentral:rRNA from 1 species
CAGUCGCCGCGGUAAUACGAAGGGGGCUAGCGUUGUUCGGAUUUACUGGGCGUAAAGCGCACGUAGGCGGACUUUUAAGUCAGGGGUGAAAUCCCGGGGCUCAACCCCGGAACUGCCUUUGAUACUGGAAGUCUUGAGUAUGGUAGAGGUGAGUGGAAUUCCGAGUGUAGAGGUGAAAUUCGUAGAUAUUCGGAGGAACACCAGUGGCGAAGGCGGCUCACUGGACCAUUACUGACGCUGAGGUGCGAAAGAGUGGGGAGCAAACAGGAUUAGAUACCCCUGUAGUCCCUGUCUCUUAUAA